UAUUAGUAGUGGCCUGAAUUACAGUUUGUGCAAUUUCUGAAAUAGAUUUAUCGUUUUCUCUUCAAUCACCAUAUUGUUAAUUUGAGAUAAUAAUAUAGUACACGUAACAUCUAUAUUCCAGAUUAGUAACAUCUAUAUUCCAUUCCUGUUUGUACAACUAUGACGUAUGAUGAACAACAUGCAGGCCACUUCCGGACGGAAUCUAAUUCCAAUUGAGAAAGAGGGCAGAGCUCGAGCGGCAAAUUCUAUGUUCUUUGUUGUAUUAUAUAAAUGUCUGGUCCGUGGUGAUAUUGGCUAUAUAAAUCACGCAGGUCUUUUUGCCUGUGGCACGUCCGAUAUAGCUCAUUCUGGAAAGGACCCGAGAUAAGCGCAAGGCACAGUGCAGACGGCAGAUUGCUGCUUUCUUAUCUAUCUAGUAGGACGAAGAUGUCUGACAAAAGUGACCUGAAAGCUGAGCUGGAGCGAAAGAAACAGAGGCUAGCUCAAAUACGAGAGGAGAAGAAGAGAAAGGAGGAGGAGAGGAAAAAGAAAGAGUCUGAGAGUCUGCAGCAGAAAACAGAGAAUGUCUCUGAAGAUUCUGACUUGGACCGCAAACGAAGAGAGACGGAGGCGCUGCUGCAGAGUAUUGGGAUCUCACCAGAACCACCAUUAGUGAGCACCACCAGUGAUGCUGGCAGCCAGGAGUCCGUAGAUGGGGGGACAGUGGGAAGAUAUAGGACCCUGCAGUGGGACACGGACCCCUCUGCUCUCCAGCUGCAGGCAGACUCUGAGCUGGGGCGCAGGAUGCACAGACUUGGAGCGUCAAAAAUAGUACAGAUUGACUUCGUUCCCAAAGAGCUUGUGACCUACACUAAAGAGACCCAGACUCCUUCAGCAGCACAUCAGUCUGAAGAAGAAGAAGAGGAUGAGGAGAGCAGUGAGCCUAAAGCUUCCCCUCAGACUGACCAGUUGGAGGAGGAAGGAGAGGCAGAGGACAGUAAACAGACCCAUGCCAGAGAGCUGACGGAGGAGGAGAGGGAACAGAUCCUCCACUCAGAGGACUUCCUGGUGUUCUUUGAGCGGUCGGUCUCUGUGGUGGAGCGGGCGCUGGCCGAGGAGGGAGACAUCUUCUUCGACUACAGCGGCCGGGACCUGGAGGACAAAGAAGGGGACAUGCAAGGUGGAUCCAAUCUGUCUUUCAACCGUGUGUUCCAUGACGAUCACUGGUCCAAACACCGAGUAGUCACCUGCUUAGACUGGUCCCCACAGUACCCUGAACUGAUGGUGGCCUCUUACAACAGCAACGAGGAUGCUCCACACGAGCCUGAUGGGAUAGCGCUGGUGUGGAACAUGAAGUUCAAGAAGACCACUCCAGAGUAUACAUUUCACUGCCAGUCAUCAGUGAUGUCUGUGGGCUUUGCUCAGUUCCAUCCUAACUUGGUGGUGGGGGGGAACGUACUCUGGACAGAUUGUGUUGUGGGAUAACCGUAGUCACAGGAGGACCCCCGUCCAGAGGACCCCUCUGUCUGCUGCGGCACACACUCACCCAGUGUACUGUGUGAACGUGGUGGGUACCCAGAACGCCAACAACCUGAUAACAGUGUCUACUGAUGGGAAGAUGUGCUCCUGGAGUCUAGACAUGCUCUCUCAGCCUCAGGAGAGUAUGGAGCUGGUCUACAAUAAGUCCAAGCCCGUAGCAGUAACAGGAAUGGCCUUCCCUGCCGGAGAUGUUAACAACUACGUGGUGGGAAGCGAGGAAGGGAUGGUGUACUCUGCGUCCCGCCACGGCAGUAAAGCAGGUAUAGCUGAGAUGUUUGAGGGGCACCAGGGCCCAGUGACUGGGAUCAGCUGCCAUAACGCUGUGGGUACUGUCGACUUCUCACACCUCUUCAUCACGUCCUCCUUUGACUGGACAGUAAAACUGUGGUCAAUCAAGCACAACAAGCCACUGUACUCGUUUGAGGAUAAUGCAGACUAUGUCUAUGAUGUCAGUUGGUCCCCUGUGCAUCCGGCUCUCUUUGCCUCCGUGGAUGGGAUGGGUCGUUUGGACCUGUGGAACCUCAACAAUGACACUGAGGUGCCCACAGCGAGUGUGACGAUCGAGGGGGCGUGUGCUCUGAACCGUGUGAGAUGGGCGUCGGGAGGCAGAGAGGUUGCCGUGGGUGACUCGGAGGGGCGUGUCUGGAUCUACGAUGUGGGAGAGCUGGCAGUGCCACACCCUGAGGACUGGAGCCACUUCGCCCGCACCCUAGUUGAGAUCCGUGCCAACCGCGGGGACGGAGAGGAAGAGGGGGCCGUGGAGCUGGCAGCCUGAAACCCUCUCAUCAAUGGAUGCAACGUUUCAAGACUGACAGCUUGAUAACAGACAUUUACAGAUAACAAACCAUCAUUUACUGACAUAACAACAGCAGCAUGCAUGCUUUAGUGACAUUCAAGUCAUUGUGAUUAGACUGACUCCAAGCUUAUGCUCCAUAGAUCAAAGUAAGAAACAAGGAUUUUCCAGACCAACAACUAUUCUUACUAGGGUUAUUUAUUGGUUCAUUAAACAGUUGAUAUGUAUAUACGUGAUAUCAAAAUCAUAUGGCUUGCAAUGAUAAUGUGCUUAUGGGUCUAACGUGGGUCUAAAUGUUGGAGUGAGCUAGAUAUGAUCCUGAUAUUAUACUGGUUUGAUGAUCAGAUUCCUGUGAUCUGUUCAUGUUGUUCUUUCUUCAAGGUUAUAAAAGCUGCAUUAAUAACAAGUUGGAUCAUUGUUUUCUCAAGAUAUCCAAGUUAACCUUUAAUAAUGUUUUUAAGUAGCUUUGGGCUUUUCAGUGCAUCAGCAUGAUAAUUAUUACAUUUUGGUUGCUGUUAAAAAAAAUGGUUUUGUUUUAAGAAAUAAGUCUAAAAAUGUAUGGCUUUUUGCUGUAAGGACAACAAUUGACAAUAAAAUCAGGAUAACUUAAA